AACGAAUUAAGUUUUUUUCCCGGGGUUUUCCCCGGAAAAAAAGGGGGAAGGGUGAUAACCGGGGUACCUGCCCUCGAAGGGAAAACUGGAACAGGGUUAAUCCGUUACAAUCAAACCGCAUGUUUGAUUGAAGGCCUUUCGGGUUCCUUAGGAUGACCCGGGUGCAUUAGGUAGUGGGAGGUAAGGUUCACCAAGGCCCCGAUGCUAGCCGACCUGAAGGGGGAUCGGCCACUUGGGAAUGAGACAGGCCCAAAUUCUUACGGAGGCAGCAGUAGGGAUCUUUGGCAAUGACGAAAGUCUGACCGAGCAACGCCGCCUGAGUGAAGAAGGUUUUCGGAUCGUAAAACUCUGUUGUUAGAGAAGAACAAGGAUGAGAGUAACUGUUCAUCCCUUGACGGUAUCUAACCAGAAAGCCACGGCUAACUACGUGCCAGCAGCCGCGGUAAUACGUAGGUGGCAAGCGUUGUCCGGAUUUAUUGGGCGUAAAGCGAGCGCAGGCGGUUUCUUAAGUCUGAUGUGAAAGCCCCCGGCUCAACCGGGGAGGGUCAUUGGAAACUGGGAGACUUGAGUGCAGAAGAGGAGAGUGGAAUUCCAUGUGUAGCGGUGAAAUGCGUAGAUAUAUGGAGGAACACCAGUGGCGAAGGCGGCUCUCUGGUCUGUAACUGACGCUGAGGCUCGAAAGCGUGGGGAGCAAACAGGAUUAGAUACCCUGGUAGUCCACGCCGUAAACGAUGAGUGCUAAGUGUUGGAGGGUUUCCGCCCUUCAGUGCUGCAGCUAACGCAUUAAGCACUCCGCCUGGGGAGUACGACCGCAAGGUUGAAACUCAAAGGAAUUGACGGGGGCCCGCACAAGCGGUGGAGCAUGUGGUUUAAUUCGAAGCAACGCGAAGAACCUUACCAGGUCUUGACAUCCUUUGACCACUCUAGAGAUAGAGCUUCCCCUUCGGGGGCAAAGUGACAGGUGGUGCAUGGUUGUCGUCAGCUCGUGUCGUGAGAUGUUGGGUUAAGUCCCGCAACGAGCGCAACCCUUAUUGUUAGUUGCCAUCAUUCAGUUGGGCACUCUAGCAAGACUGCCGGUGACAAACCGGAGGAAGGUGGGGAUGACGUCAAAUCAUCAUGCCCCUUAUGACCUGGGCUACACACGUGCUACAAUGGGAAGUACAACGAGUUGCGAAGUCGCGAGGCUAAGCUAAUCUCUUAAAGCUUCUCUCAGUUCGGAUUGCAGGCUGCAACUCGCCUGCAUGAAGCCGGAAUCGCUAGUAAUCGCGGAUCAGCACGCCGCGGUGAAUACGUUCCCGGGCCUUGUACACACCGCCCGUCACACCACGAGAGUUUGUAACACCCGAAGUCGGUGAGGUAACCUUUGGAGCCAGCCGCCUAAAGGG
rnacentral:rRNA from 1 species